CACCGCCUGGGGAGUACGACCGCAAGGUUAAAACUCAAAUGAAUUGACGGGGACCCGCACAAGUAGUGGAGCAUGUGGUUUAAUUCGAAGAUACGCGCAGAACCUUACCAACACUUGACAUGUUCGUCGCGACUUUAAGAGAUUAAAGUUUUCGGUUCGGCCGGACGAAACACAGGUGCUGCAUGGCUGUCGUCAGCUCGUGUCGUGAGAUGUUGGGUUAAGUCCCGCAACGAGCGCAACCCUCACUUUUAGUUGCCAUCAUUAAGUUGGGCACUCUGAAAGAACUGCCAGUGAUAAGCUGGAGGAAGGUGGGGAUGACGUCAAGUCCUCAUGGCCCUUACGUGUUGGGCUACACACGUGCUACAAUGGUAUCUACAACAGGAAGCAAGACGGCGACGUUAAGCAAAUCCUUAAAAGAUACCUCAGUUCGGAUUGCACUCUGCAACUCGAGUGCAUGAAGCUGGAAUUACUAGUAAUCGUGGAUCAGCGUGCCACGGUGAAUGCGUUCCCGGGUCUUGUACACACCGCCCGUCACACCAUGGGAGUUGGUUCUACCUUAAGGCAAGGUUUAAAACCCUUGACCACGGUAUAGUCAGCGACUGGGGUGAAGUCGUAACAAGGUAGCCGUAGGGGAACCUGCGGCUGGAUUACCUCCUUUCUAAGGAUGAAUAAAAGUAAAAUUUUAUUCUAAAUAAUAUACAUGAGUAAUGUUGACCGUCCUCAUUUCUCUUCUUAAAUUAGUGUUUCUCUUGCAUGGGGGCCGGUAGCUCAGUUGGUUAGAGCACACCCUUGAUAAGGGUGGGGUCGAAAGUUCGAGUCUUUCUCGGCCCACCAAUUUAAGAUCAUGGGGGAUUAGCUCAGCUGGGAGAGCGCCUGAUUUGCAUUCAGGAGGUCAGCGGUUCGAUCCCGCUAUCCUCCACCAAACACUUAGUUAUAAAAAAUCGUAAAGAAUUAAUAAUUAAUAUCAAUAUCUAUAUCCGAACAUUAAUAAUGUUAUUAGUUAAUGUUCAAAAUAAAAAUUUGAUUCAACACAGAAUUUUUUUCUG
rnacentral:sRNA from 1 species